CGAUAAGUUUCAUAAUACUUCCGCGAGAUAGCGCUGCUUUCUAUGCACUGUCACCAAGGCAAACUUUUUCCUUGCGAAAUAAUGGUCAAUGGUAUUAUUUCGCACGGAGGCUCGCGAAAUUUUGACAGUUUUGAGAAUCAAUAUUUUGAAUUUGAAUGGCACACCCGAACAAAGCAGCCACAAGAGCAGCAUUUUUCGUCAGCAGCAGAAGCAGCAGCCAUCUAUCUACUUGAUAAGUUUUCAUCAACAACAACCAGAUGCUACAAAUCAGCUCAACUUGACUCAACAUCCUGGAUCAGGCAAUCAGCCAACCAACAUUAAAUCGAUACAACCGUAGCAGUACCAACAACUUCAAAUCCAGCAGCUGCGAACAAUCUCUCAAAAAAGAACCACAGCAAUUAUAGCUCAGAACCAACAAAGCAACAAGAGCUUUUUUUACGAAUAAUGGACCCAACGGACACACUUUAUCGGCACAUUCUGUCGUAAAACUUGCCUGCCACUAUUCUUACCAGCGGUUACCUUCCUGAUGUAGAGAAAUCAGAUUCAAACACAAACGUCAUAUUACUGCCUUGGCUCCUACCAGUUGCUUGCAUGAAAAUAUCGCUGCCUCCACAGUGCUCGUGAUUCCAUCCCAGCAGCAGCUAGCAACCACAAUUCCAGUGCUUAUCGCCAGCAACAUCAGAAAAUUAAGAUUUCCCCCAGACCAUGACCAUCAUCCGACAGAUCGGUAGCAACAACGUUCAACUGACGGUAAAACCUGGCCAGCAACCGCAACUAGUGCAAUCGAUCCAAGCCAAUCAGGGCCAAAUGUAGAAGACCAUUGGUCAACCGCAAAAAAAAGAUACAUCAAUAGCACCUUCAAACACAGUAGCAGCAGCAUACUGUACUGUACCACGCCGCGUGCAGGAGGACUUUUUUAUUCAGUUGGUGCAGCAAGAUCGAACAGCAACCAUAGCGGAUACACAUCACCGAACACCAGCAACAUAAUGCCAUGGUAACCACCCAGCAGCAGAACACGGUGAUAAUGGGCCAACAGUAAAUACAACAUCAAGAUCCUCGGAAAGGACUUUCUCUUUCGAACAAACAUAAUGGAAGCAUACUCUACACGCGCGACAUAUUCAAUCGGGCCAACCGUGUGACUCGUUUGGAAAAAAGCGCUCAUCAUCGGUUUCAUGGCAGCGAAGUGAGCAGACAAAAGAAGGCGUUUUUUCCGAAAGGUCGCUCUGGGCAAAAGUUCAGCCAAUUGCAAGGAAUAAACCACCGGAGUGACAGUAUCCGUGCUGUUUAGGACCUUUUUCCAUAUAUUGUAGCUUUUGAAUUUUAAUACCCGGUCGAAACGAUGGCAAGUGCUGCCGAUAACUGGGUUAAAAAGGCGGAGGGAGGAUCAGGAAAUUUCUGCACUCGGUUAUCGAUCUGAGUAUCCCUAAGGAUAAGGAACCAGAGCCGGCGGCUGACAGCCCAAAGAAAGAGAAUGUGGAAAAACCUUCUAGUUCACCGCCAGUAGAACCAGCGAUCAAAUUACUCCCGUAGAAACGGCUGCACCUGCAGUUUUGUUUUCGGUAGCUACAGAAAUUAAGACUUUAGCAGCUCCUGAAGAAAAAAAAGCUGCUAACGAAAAUGGAGAAACAGCUUCCUCCACGGAAGAUGCAGAGGCAUUCAACCCGGCGGAUGCAAGUUUGCUAAUUAAACUUAUUCGCAAAGGUCUAGUAGAAUCAAAGCUGGAUCUGGGGGUGAAGGAUCCUUCUUCGCCGCGAUACUUGGUUAAAACUUUCGAAGCUUUGCACAUGAAUUCGGAACUGCUUCAGGGAGUCUAUACUAUGGGUUUCAACGCUCCUUCCAAGAUUCAGAAGACGGCUCAACCUACUCUGUUGGCCGAUCCGCCACAGAACAUAAUCGCCCAGAGUUGGUCGGGAACAAGAAAAACCACUGCCUUCGUGCUGGCAAUGCUCAAUCGAGUCGAUCCGUUGAAAAACUAUCCGCAGGUGAUUUGCCUUUCCCCACGUAUGAACUGGCAAUUCAGAAGGAGAAAGUAGCUGCAAAACGGCAAAGUUUUGUGCGGAAAUCGAACUUGGUUAAACCGUUCGCGGUGAGAAGAUCGUCAAAGGGGCGAAGCUGACUAAUCAUAUCAUCAUCGGAACAGCCGGGCGUUCGAACUUAAGAAGAUUGCAAUUUUUGUACCGGACGAGGCGGGCGUUAUGAUCGCUGUUUCUUUUUAGCCACGUACGAGCGGGAGGUGAUGGGAUUCGCCCAGUACAUCGUAACCAAUCCGAUCAUGAUUCUUCUGGUGCGGGAGCAAGAAUCACUCGAUAACACCAAACACUCCUACGUCAAAUGCCGCAACCAGGACGAGAAAUAUCAAGCAAUUUCAAACAUGUACGGUGUGAUUACCGUCGGACAAGCGAUCAUUUUCUG